GGGAAUAUUUAGUCCUAAUGGUCUGGAUAGUGUCAACAUGAUAAAAAUGACAAUACUAUCAAAAUUAAUUUAUACUUUUAAUGUGCCAAUUUAUCAAGGGGUUUGGUAGAGAAAUUAAUAAGAUAAUAAAAUUCAUGUGGAAAAAUAAAAUAGCUAGAAUAUCAAGAGAAAUAAUGAAAAAGAUAGGAAAAGGAGGGGGGGGGGGAAACAUUUCUAGACCUUAAGUUAUAUUAUAAAGUACUAGUCGUUUGUUAUUCCUUAAAAAUUAGAUAAGUACAGACACUAAUACAUUGUUGAUGGAGUUGUGAAAUGAUCCAAUCAUUCUGGAGAGUAAUUUGGAAUGAUGCUAAAAAAAGAUAUAAAACUGUGCACACUCUUUUGAGUGAAAUGGGGAAACUGAGGAUUUCUCAGAAUCAAUACUUAGGGCAAUUCAAGACUCAGCAUCAAGCAUUUGUUAAUCAUUAAGGUUCUGUAUCCCAAAGGAAAAGGAAAAGGACCCAUAUGUGCAAAAAUGUUUGUAGCAGCUCUUUUAUGGGUAGCAAAGAAUUGGAAAAUGAGUAGAUGCCCAUCAAUUGGGGAAUGGCUGAAUAAGUUAUGGUAUAUGAAUGUAAUGGAAUAUUAUUGUUCUAUAAGAAAUGAAGAGGAGGCUGAUUUCAAAAAAAAACCUAGAAAGACUUACAUGAAAUAAUGUUAAGCAAAACAAGUAGAACCAGGGAAACAAUGUACACAGCAACAAGAUUGUGCAACUGUGAUAGACUUGCUUCUUUUCAGUGGUUCAGUGAUCCAAAAUAGUCUUCAUAAACUUAGGAUGGAAAACACCAUUCAAAUACAGAGAGAAACAGAGAAAGACAGAGAGACACAGAGAAAGACAGACUAUAGAGAUUGAGUGUCAAUGAACAUGUGCUAGGUUCACUUUUUUUUCUUUUUCUUCUUUUUUUUUUCUUUGUGGUUUUCCCUUUUGUUCUGAUUUUUUCUCUCCCAAUAUGAUUCAUAAAGAAAUGUGUAAAACCUCCCAAAAAUGUUAUUUCUACAUGUAACUGGGGAAAAUAAAAAUGUUUGAAAAGAAAAACCUGGGAAAACUUACAUGAACAAAUACAAAAUAAAAAAAAAACAAGUAAAUUCAUGGAAGAGACUAGACAGAGGAGAACUAGAAACAAUGAAAUUCAACAACUCAGAGUUCGGAAAACUUAAAAUUAUAAAUUAGGAAAGAACUCAGAAUUUGAUUCUAAAAAUGCUUAGAAAACUAGAAAGUAGAGUAGGAGAAAUUAGAUUUAGACUAACAUCUUAUAUUCUACGAGAAAUUCAAAACAGAAACAUGAAUUUAAUAUUAAAAAUCAUGCUAAUGCAAUGAGAACUGUGUCCUCCUGAUCUUUGUGGAGGGUGGGGCCACCUGGUCUGGGGAAAUUCCUGGAAAUGAUCCCCAUCCACUUGAAUCUCCCUUGGGAAAGCUACCUGGUUUCCCACAGGAAUCACCCACCUCCAAUUGAUCUAAUAAUCAUUUUGGUCUGGGAAACAAUCACCACCCUUUAUUGAAUUGGAAAUUCAAUUCGAUAAUAGGGAGCCUUUAAUUGUUCCCUAGCCCCAAACUAUAGAAGACUAAUUUUUAAAAAAUGACUGUACCCCAUAGCUUUGCUAAAUUCCUUUUGGAAUUCGUACUCUGUGAAGUUGUUUUUCAGUGUAAUAAAUCCAUUUUUGCC
ensembl:lncRNA